AUGAUUCUCCUGUCCUCUAAUAAGUUUAUAAUAUUCUAGGUGCCUCGGAAGAAGUAUCUCCUGAUGCCAACCCUGAUAUCGAGGUUGAAGAUGAUUCUCCUGUCCUCUAUUCCAACCUCAGUAGCACAGCAUAUUAUUUCAUCCAGGUAUAAGAAAUCCUUGCCCAAGAUAGAUGUUUCUAGAAGCAGAACAUCCCUCAAUACUAUUUCUUAUUAAUAAAUCAAUCAAUCAAUGUUUUUUUAUUAAAAUAUAUAACUAUAUUAAAAUA